rnacentral:rRNA from 1 species
UCGAGGAUAUUUCACAAUGCGCGAAAGCGUGAUGAUGCGACGCCGCGUGGAGGACGAAGGCCUUCGGGUUGUAAACUCCUGUCGUGAGGGAGCAAGUGGGUCUUGCCUAACACGCAAGGCUCUUGAUGGUACCUCAGGAGGAAGCCACGGCAAACUCUGUGCCAGCAGCCGCGGUAAUACAGAGGUGGCGAGCGUUGUUCGGAUUUACUGGGCGUAAAGGGUGCGUAGGCGGCCCCGUGUGUCGGAUGUGAAAGCCCAUGGCUCAACCAUGGAAUGGCAUCCGAAACUGCGGGGCUAGAGUGCAGGAGAGGAGAGUGGAAUUCUUGGUGUAGCGGUGAAAUGCGCAGAUAUCAAGAGGAACACCGGUGGCGAAGGCGGCUCUCUGGAAUGACACUGACGCUGAGGCACGAAAGCCAGGGUAGCAAAAA